rnacentral:lncRNA from 1 species
GGGGGGGGGACGAGCGAUAGCCACUCUAGCUGAAGGCCAUGGGGCAGACCAGGUUCCUGGAGAAGCACCCCCAGUUCCAGCCGGUGCGCUGGGCGCCUUCCCACGCCUGCUCUGCGGGACCCCAGGCGCCCCACGCACGCACCCACCCGCCUCCCUGGGCCCGCCGCUCCUCCCUCCUUCUUCACUGGUUGGCCGGGUCGCUGCGGAGAGCAGCGGCAGCGGGAGGAGCCGGGCGCGCCCGCCACGCAAAACCACCGCUCUAGCUGGGUGGCGAGCAGGCUGCGCGAUCCCAGGUGGCAGCGGUGACAGUGACAGCGGCAGCGGCAGCAGUCUGUGCGCUUCCUCUCCCAGGAGCACCCGCAUCCCGCCUCCGCCGCGCCACUGAGCUGCCGGCGAUCCCGGGAGCCCCGGCCCACGCGCCCACGGCCGAGCCCCGCGCACAAUAGCGGCCGUCGCAGCUGCGGCUCCGAACCUGGACGCCAGCCAUGGGGAAGACGGCGAGGAAGGGAUACGACUACAAGCGCUUCCUGAAGAAUAACUGGUUGCUGCUCUCCACAGUGGCCGCGGUGGUGCUAGGUGAGCAGCGCGGCGGGUGGGCGAUGCGCGCACCCUCACGCGUGCCCAGAGCCCAGGCCGCGUGCGGGGUGUGCGAGUGCAAGGGUGGGCAUGGCGCGGGCGCAGUCUUUGCCGGGGCCACCCGCUCCCCUUGGACCUUGGCCUUGGACCCCAGACCGCCGUUUUCCCCCAAGAGCGCAAU